GAGACAAAAAUUUCAGUGGCCGUUAAUCAUUUUGAGUCACCCAACCAAUCACAAACAUGUUUUCAAAAACACUCGAAAUUCAAUUGGAAAACGUACUUUCGUUUGUGAUUGAUUGGCGACUCAAAAUGAU